rnacentral:rRNA from 1 species
GCCGAACCGAGCGAACGUUGUUCGGAAUCACUGGGCUUAAAGGGCGCGUAGGCGGGCUGUCAAGUCUGGGGUGAAAUCCCACGGCUCAACCGUGGAACUGCCUUAGAUACUGACGGCCUCGAGGGAGAUAGGGGCGAGCGGAACUGUGAGUGGAGCGGUGAAAUGCGUUGAUAUUCACAGGAACUCCGGUGGCGAAGGCGGCUCGCUGGAUCUUUUCUGACGCUGAGGCGCGAAAGCUAGGGGAGCAAACGGG